GGCGUGCCGUUACAUGCUAGUCGUGCGGACAGAAGGGAGCUUGCUCCCGGAUGUUAGCGGCGGACGGGUGAGUAACACGUGGGUAACCUGCCUGUAAGACUGGGAUAACUCCGGGAAACCGGAGCUAAUACCGGAUAGUUCCUUGAACCGCAUGGUUCAAGGAUGAAAGACGGUUUCGGCUGUCACUUACAGAUGGACCCGCGGCGCAUUAGCUAGUUGGUGAGGUAACGGCUCACCAAGGCGACGAUGCGUAGCCGACCUGAGAGGGUGAUCGGCCACACUGGGACUGAGACACGGCCCAGACUCCUACGGGAGGCAGCAGUAGGGAAUCUUCCGCAAUGGACGAAAGUCUGACGGAGCAACGCCGCGUGAGUGAUGAAGGUUUUCGGAUCGUAAAGCUCUGUUGUUAGGGAAGAACAAGUGCAAGAGUAACUGCUUGCACCUUGACGGUACCUAACCAGAAAGCCACGGCUAACUACGUGCCAGCAGCCGCGGUAAUACGUAGGGUGGCAAGCGUUGUCCGGAAUUAUUGGGCGUAAAGGGCUCGCAGGCGGUUUCUUAAGUCUGAUGUGAAAGCCCCCGGCUCAACCGGGGAGGGUCAUUGGAAACUGGGAAACUUGAGUGCAGAAGAUGAGAGUGAAUUCCACGUGUAGCGGUGAAAUGCGUAGAGAUGUGGGAGGACACCAGUGGCGAAGCGACUCUCUGAUCUGUACUGACGCUGAGGAGCGAAAGCGUGGAGCGACAGAUAGAUACCCUGUAGUCCACGCCGUAACGAUGAUGCUAAGUGUUAGGGGUUUCCCCCUAUGCUGCAGCUACGCAUAGCACUCCGCCUGGGGAGUACGUCCAGA
rnacentral:rRNA from 1 species